UUGCUCCCAUUUUAGUUUAGAUUCCUCUAGUCCUAGGGUUCACUGGUCCUAGAGUCCACUGGUCCUGGAGUCCACUAGUCCUAGGGUUCACUGGUUCUAGAGUCCACUGGUCCUAGAGUCCAC